ensembl:lncRNA
CCAUCUGUCUAUUCAAGCUUCUAUCCAUCCACCCAUCCAUCCAAAGAUCCAUUCAUACAUCCAUACCUCCUUCCAACUGUACAUCCAUCCAUCAAUCCAAAGGUCCAUUUAUUUAUCCAUCCAUCCAUCCAUCCAUCCACCCAUCCAUCCAAAGAUCCAUUCAUACAUCCAUCCAUCCAAAGGUCCAUUUAUUUAUCCAUCCAUCUAUCCAUCCAUCCAUCCAUCCACCCAUCCAUCCAAAGAUCCAUUCAUACAUCCAUACAUCCUUCCAACUGUACAUCCAUGCAUCCAUCCAAAGGUCCAUUUAUUUAUCCAUCCAUCUAUCCAUCCAUCCAUCCAUCCAUCCAAAGAUCCAUUCAUUAAUCCAUCCAUCUAUCCAACCAUCCAUCCAUCAUCCCAUCAUCCAUCAGUGCAUCUAUUCCUUUGCCUUAGUGAGCAACUCAGUAGGUAACAAAUCUUCAAACUACCAGUCUACUGUCAUGCAGACUCCAUAUCUAAACCCUCACACACUCUCCAAUAUGCACUACAUGGCCAAAAGUAU